rfam:Trichomalopsis sarcophagae strain Alberta scaffold9180, whole genome shotgun sequence.
CAAUCGGCCCUUUUUAGGGCUACCAACAAUAUUUCUUACGUAGAA